rnacentral:rRNA from 1 species
CCUACGGGUGGCAGCAGUGGGGAAUUUUGGACAAUGGGCGAAAGCCUGAUCCAGCUAUGCCGCGUGAGUGAAGAAGGCCUUCGGGUUGUAAAGCUCUUUCGGUUGGGAAGAAGUUUAUCUGUUUAAGAGAUGGAUAGAUUGACGGUACCGACAGAAGAAGCACCGGCUAACUACGUGCCAGCAGCCGCGGUAAUACGUAGGGUGCGAGCGUUAAUCGGAAUUACUGGGCGUAAAGGGUGCGCAGGCGGCUACAUAAGUCAGAUGUGAAAUCCCCGGGCUUAACCUGGGAACUGCGUUUGAAACUAUGUGGCUAGAGUACAGCAGAGGGGGGUGGAACUCCAUGUGUAGCAGUGAAAUGCGUAGAUAUAUGGAAGAACCCCGAUUGCGAAGGCAGCAUACCGGCGGCGAUCUGACGCUGAGGCACGAAAGCGUGGGUAUCGAACAGGAUUAGAUACCCCUGUAGUC